CUCUGCUUUAAAGUCUGUGUUCAACUCCUUGGUAAUUGAAAAGGAAAAAUUCAAACAGUUGAUAUCAGAACAUGAUGCUUGCCAUGCACCAUCUGCACACAUAAUUGGUUUGAAGACUGCCUUAACCUCGGCUUUAGCUCAGAAUGCAGAGUUCAAAGGCCGGCUGUGCAGGAUACAUGCUGAAUCUAGGCUGGUAGAUCCAGCUGUCACUGUAUAUUCGAGUCCAGGUUCAGUUAAGCAGAUAUUAAAAAGUCUUAAUACUGUGCAUGUUGGUAAGCUGAAGAACAUAUGAAAAUAAAAAACAUCCGACAACUAAAACAUUGCAGUUAUAAUCUAAAUGGGACUUGGAUGAAACUCCACUUUUUGUGCAGAUAAUCAUUGGGUUUGUUUCAUUGAAUACCAGCUGCUUUUAUUCUGUUUUCAUGCUUGGGAUAGGAACGUAAUGACUGAAAUAUAGUUGCGGAAAACCUUUCAAACCAUGCCAACUUAUUCAAAUACAAAGAAACUACAGCUGUUCCCUUUUACA